rnacentral:tRNA from 1 species
GGAGAGGUGGCCGAGUGGCUGAAGGCGCACGCUUGGAAAGCGUGUAUGGGUUAAUAGCUCAUCGAGGGUUCGAAUCCCUCUCUCUCCGCCA